GGAGCAUAGUGAUUUGCCUCUGGCGAACCCAGUACAGCAAAGGGGAUGGGAUGUCAGUCGCUGAUGUCACAGAAGACUGUGACUUCCAUCUUCUGGUUCUCUCUUGCAUUCUAUGAUGUUUCCAGACACUCUGUGCAAAGAACAGAGGCAAGCCUCCAGCCAGGAGCUCAUGAAAUCAUGAACUGAGGCCUCAGUGCAAUAGCUCAUGAGGAAAUGAAUUAUUUCAACAGCCAGAUUUGAUAUCAAAGUAAUGUCAAGUGCUUCUGACCCACUGCAUUAAACGUGUGCUGAGCAGUUGGUGGUAGAAGACAUUAUUGUGAAGGCUGCUCACCACCAAUUUCAUCACUGUUGCUAACUCCAGCUCAUCUAAUCUCUGCAACAUCUGCUACCAGCACCUUCUCUUGCCUCCUUUUGUGAACAUAGUUUUUUCUUCUGGUUAGAAAAUCAGUUCGAACUUCUUGAGUUUUGUGUUUUAAACUCUUCUCAACUGUUCCGAUGAUUGAUGGAUGGCCCAGAGGCGACCUCUUUAUCUCCAGCAACAUAUUUGGCUGUUGGCCCGGUAGAGAGGUACUCCAGAAGCUUGCUGGUUCAUCAUGCUCUCAUCUUUAACCACAACUAUUUAUCUGACUCCUUCCAUCUCCACAGCACUGUGUGAGGGAUCAGUGAUAAGAGACGGUGAAAGACAUGCGCAAAUGGAUAAAUAAUAAGCAGGAUAUGUAGAAUGACACAACAAUUGAUGAGUAAUUUAGGAGAUCCAAUAACUAAAAAAAAAAAGACUGGGGACAAGUUCAUGGAAAGAGUAAUCAACUAAGCCUUAUAACAUAAAAUUGACAAAUAGAGAAGGCAUGCAAUCCAGUAGAAUAGAGUGCAAAAGAGGUAGAAGACUAAUCGUUUCAAGACAUGUUGAGCCACAACAGCAAUAACAUUGUGACAAAAAACGUCGGUGUAGACUGCAGAAGAUCUUCAAUGACGGAUCAAGCUGUAUAGACUUUUUUUUACCCUCAUAUACUGAAUAGUCAUUUAAGGUAUACAGUGCCAACGUAAGAGAGAAAGGUAAACUUUUUUUAACACAAGUUGUAGGCCUUGGAAAGAAGUUUUCCAGUAACAAGAUAACACGAUAAUGUACUGUGGUUAUAAGCUCAAAGUGGUAUAUUUGAUUCAGUGUUCCCAGAACCACCAAAACCUUGGAACCAUUGUUUAGCUAAAGCUACUAGAACAACAGAAUAACCUACUCUGUGGCAUUGUAAAGUAAAAUUAUACUACACACAAAUACUUGACAUAAAAUACAUUUCCAAACUCAAUUAUUAGGGAUAACAUAAGCACAAAAUGAUGCUUUGCAAACAUCAUGUAUCCUAUAACUGGAGAAAAAAAAUUAAUGACAUGAAGUGAAAUGACUGAGUUCUGAAGCUACAUCUCAAUUUAAAUAGCAUAAGCAAUUUAGUAUACAACAUUCUUCAAAAUCAAUUGUUGAAGGUUAACUAUAAUCUACAUACAAAAACAACUUUGUCAACUUUUUGUACGGAUUUUCCUUCUAAACAUAUUUACUUUAUGUGUAAAAUCAAAAAAUUUCCUGAGUUAAAGGCUAAGACUUGACUUUAUGAAUACAUGCCCAAAAAUUGGUGGUGGCUGGUUUCUGUUUUUAUUUUGUAAGCUUAGUAUAAUGGUUGUCCAGAACUUGUAAGCAAUGACCUCAUUUCUAAGCGGACAAGAUGCAAAAGACCAUUUUUACAGAUUAACCAUCUGGUUCCUUUAGGAAGAGUAAUAUUUCAACAGGUUCCUGUAUUUCAAGAAUAUAAAUAAUUAAAAAGAUGAAGAUAUGUGAAAUACACAAAGAAAAAAAUAGAGAAAAUAGCAUUUAAAGCAAAUUAUCCUAGCUCCCUCAAUUAAUAUUUUAAAACCAUGACAAUCAGUUAUUAAUAUAAAUUGUUAAUUUUAUUUAAUACAACAUCAAUAUAAUUCAUACCAUCUUCUUCAACUAGGUGGUCUAUCAUUUUGGAGUUUCUUUCCACCUCUGGAGAAUUGCUCAGGAAAUCUGGCUAACAUACCAAAUAAAUCAAAUGGAUUUAAUGAGAUGGUUUUUGGCUAGUUUCUAUAUUCUUGUAUACACAUGCAUGUAACACAUAAAUGUGGUGCUGUUCACAGUUAGAGGCGCAAGAGAAAAAAGUAGCUUUCCAGUGUUAUUUCAUUGUUAUUAACUAUACAGUAUUCAGGUGCAAACAAAUGAAAAUCCUGUAUAUUCACGCUAAAAUAUAAUAUGUAUCAAAAUAAGCAUAAAAUAACUGUUUUGGAUAGGUCUUAGGAUGCUGCUGUGGCUUAAUUUGCUCUGUUUAUGUUCUCUCCGCUUUUCUUUAUUGCAUGUGCUAGUUUUGAUGUGUUGUUUGACUAAUAUGUCAUACGGUGAAUUUACUGAGGUCUAUAACAAAAGGCAUGGAUCCAUACACUGGACACAACCUUGAGGGCAUAAGGGAAAAAAAAAAGAAACUAAGUACCAUAGAACAGCCUCAACAAAAUCAGAGCAUGCUUUACACGUGAUUUUCAGUUACACCCUGCUUGUCAUUUGUGAUUACUCAAAACAAUAAUUAAAUUACGUCCUCCAGGAAACAGGAAGGAGUGGAUAACCAAAAUACAUGAAAAGCCCCUACAGUCCCUGUUUGUUCAGAGUAUAGAUCAGCAUUCUUUAGGAGUUCCAUUCUUUUAUUACAGGAAUGAAUAUUGGGUUGAACACGCUUAUAUGCAUUUAGAGGUAAUGUGAUGUAUGAAAACAAGUACUGCAGAGGUUUCCUCUGUAGAACUGUACUUUUAAGAGGAGCAGCCACCAUAAUCUUCUUGUAAAGGUAAACUGGAUCAUGUCAUUUUCAAAUAAAGUCUUCUCUCACUUCAUUUUCCCCUUAAAACAAUAUAUAAAUGAUAAUAGUAGCAACGGUAACAGUAGAAGUGGUAAACUCAACAUAAAAAGCCUACAAGGCUCUUUCCUUGUCUCUUGCUACUCCCACUUCCACUCCAUUUGCAUCUCCAACCACAGAUGCUUUCUUUCUGUGCCCCAAUGAAGCUCUUUAUGUGCCUUUCACAUACUGUUACUUCUGGUUUGUUCUUUAAAUAGAUAAUUAUUUAUUGCCCUUAAAGACUUAAGUUAAAUACCACAUCUGCCAAGAGAUUUCACUUACUGCCUUCCACUCCCAAUCUAAGUCACUUUCUCUGGCUCUCUUAUAUAAGCACAGUUAUGUUUUCCUUAGAAUAUUCAUCACAAUUUGACAUUUUAAUUUGCAUUCAUUUACUUUUUAUCCCCAACUGGACAAUAUGCUCCUUGGAAAUAGGAAAUCAU
rnacentral:lncRNA from 1 species